GAGAGAGAGGCAGAGACACAGGCAGAGGGAGAAGCAGGCUCCAUGCAGGGAGCCCGACGCGGGACUCGAUCCCGGGACUCCAGGAUCGCGCCUUGAGUUGAAGGCAGGCGCUCUACCGCGGAGCCACGCAGCUGUCCCAGGGCACUAGCUCCUUAACUUGGAGGACCGCGUGGCCGCGCUCCCCGUCCGGUGCCCUCCAGCUGGGACGGAGUCUGCAGAGAGUUGAGGGGCAGAGUAGGGGGCUGGAGGAGAGGGGGCACCCGGGACCAGCACUCCCAAAUCCCUGGCGUCCAGCCGUCCGCGCGCUCCCGGGGCCUCGGCGUUCCGAGGCGAGGUGGCCCCGGGAGGCCGGGGUUGGCGGGGCCAGUGUCCGGCCGAGCCUGCGCGCCGCCGACAGAUGUGGGAUGGUGCAGGAAUUCUGGAGGCUACAGAUGCUCCUCUUCUCAAACAGGAGACCCAUAGUGAGCAGUUACAUCAUCUUCCUGGCAGCCUGUGCUCCCAUCCUAGAGUCCCGUUCUUCCCCUCUGUCCUGUCCCUCCAGUUUGCCACCCCACUGGAUGCAGAUGAAUAAAAUCUUAAAAAAAAGAAAAAAAGAAGAGAUAUGGAUACAGACAUGUAUGGAAGGAAAACAACAUGAAGACACCAGGAGAAGUUGGCCAUCUACAAGCCAAGGAGAGAAGCCUGGAAUAGAUCCUCUCCCAGCCAUCAGAAAGAAGCAAUUCUGUCAACACCUUGAUCUCAAACUUCUAGCUUCCAAAACUGUGAGAAAAUAAAUUUCUGCUGUUUAAGCCACCCAGUCUGUGAUAUUUUGUUAUGGCGACCUUAGCAAACUAACACAGACUUAAACCUAACCAUGUGAAUAAUUCCAUUAAAAUGUAAACAUCCCAAUUAAAACACAGAGCUUAUCAAGACUCCACGACAUAAGAUGGAACAGAAAUAUAAUUUUUCUACAGACACAGAAAAUUGAAAGGAUGAGAAAAGGUAUACUAGGCACAUAGAAAGCACAAGAAAGCUGGUACAACUACAUUAAUAUCAGACCAAGUAAAUGUCCAGACAAGGAGAAUUAGCAGAGAUAAAGAGAUACGUUUCAUAAUCAGAAAAGGACCAACUGAACAGGAAACUAUAACCCUCAAUGUAUAUGCACCUAAUAACAGAGCUACAAAGUAAUGAAGUAAAAACUGCCAGAACUAAAGGGAGAAACAGACGAAUGCAUAAUCAGAACUUGGCAAACUCCUCAUCGAUAACUGAUAGAAAAACUAGACAAAAAAGCAAUAGGAUAUAGAAAAUCUGAGCACUACAACCAACCAACCAGACACAAUUGUCAUUAAAGGAACUCUAUCCCAUCAUUGCAGAAUGCACAGUGUUUUCAAGCACACACGGGAAAUUCCCUAAGGUAGAUUAUAUCCUAGGCAAAAAGUAAAUUCCAAUCAAUUUCAAAAGAUUAAAAUCUGGGCAGCCUUGGUGGCUCA